rnacentral:rRNA from 1 species
AGCUCCAAUAGCGUAUAUUAAAGUUGUUGCGUUUAAAAAGCUCGUAGUUGGAUCUGCGGCCUAGGACAGCGGUCUCCCGAUGGGUUGUCACUGCUCGUUCCUGGCCUAAUUGCUCCGGUUUUCCCUUGGUGCUCUUAACUGAGUGUCUUGGGUGGCUGGAAUGUUUACUUUGAAAAAAUUAGAGUGCUUAAAGCAGGCGCACGCCUGAAUAGUGGUGCAUGGAAUAAUGGAAUAGGACCUCGGUUCUAUUUUGUUGGCUUUCGGAGCUCGAGGUAAUGAUUAAGAGGGACAGACGGGGGCAUUCGUAUUGCGACGUUAGAGGUGAAAUUCUUGGAUCGUCGCAAGACGAACUACUGCGAAAGCAUUUGCCAAGAAUGUUUUCA